rnacentral:misc_RNA from 1 species
GUAACAAGGUUUCCGUAGGUGAACCUGCGGAAGGAUCAUUACUGAGUGAGGGCCCUCUGGGUCCAACCUCCCACCCGUGUUUAUUGUACCUUGUUGCUUCGGUGCGCCCGCCUCACGGCCGCCGGGGGGCUUCUGCCCCCGGGUCCGCGCGCACCGGAGACACUAUUGAACUCUGUCUGAAGAUUGCAGUCUGAGCAUAAACUAAAUAAGUUAAAACUUUCAACAACGGAUCUCUUGGUUCCGGCAUCGAUGAAGAACGCAGCGAAAUGCGAUAACUAAUGUGAAUUGCAGAAUUCAGUGAAUCAUCGAGUCUUUGAACGCACAUUGCGCCCCCUGGUAUUCCGGGGGGCAUGCCUGUCCGAGCGUCAUUGCUGCCCUCAAGCACGGCUUGUGUGUUGGGCUCCGUCCCCCCGGGGACGGGUCCGAAAGGCAGCGGCGGCACCGAGUCCGGUCCUCGAGCGUAUGGGGCUUUGUCACCCGCUCUGUAGGCCCGGCCGGCGCCAGCCGACAACCAAUCAUCCUUUUUUCAGGUUGACCUCGGAUCAGGUAGGGAUACCCGCUGAACUUAAGCAUAUC